GGACUUCUGGGUCCGGAGCGGAAAUGGUGGGGGUAGUGUCAGGGUAGAAGGACUCCGUCUGAGAAGCCCGAUUCGAGGUCUUCAGGGGCGGUUUGUCCAUUCGAAGGGUCAUUCCGCCGUGGCUCCCAAAUUUUGCUUCCGAGGCUGGUCUGGCUGAGGGCUCAGCGCGCCCGGCCCCACCCUCCAGAACCCCCCAACUGGAGUCUUAUUCUUUUUCCUGCGAAACACCCGAUGCUGCCUGAGGCUUGGACCCAACCUGAGGGACCACAUCUGAGAAAACCCUGCCUGUGUCUGCAGUAUCCGCUUGAAUUCCUCAGGUUGUUCAGGAAUGGAGAAUCUCCAGCAGUGUUAAAUAUAUUACCAUCAACUUAGGAGAUGGCUGCUUUGCAAAGGAAAGGGCUUCAGGCGAGGAUUCUCAGCUCUGAAGAAGAGGAGAAACUGACAAGAGACCAAGCUUUAGUGUCUGAUUAUAAACAGCAAAAACUGGAAAAAGAGGCUCAGAAGAACUGGGACCUUUUUUACAAAAGAAAUAGCACUAAUUUCUUCAAAGAUAGACACUGGACCACCAGAGAGUUUGAGGAGCUCAGAUCAUGUAGAGAGUUUGAAGAUCAAAAAUUGACUAUGCUUGAAGCUGGUUGUGGGGUUGGGAACUGUUUAUUCCCGCUUUUAGAAGAUCCGAAUAUCUUUGCCUAUGCCUGUGAUUUUUCUCCAAGAGCAGUUGAAUAUGUCAAGCAAAAUCCUUUAUAUGACACAGAACGAUGCAAGGUAUUCCAGUGUGAUCUGACUAAAGAUGACCUUCUGGAACACGUGCCCCCGGAGUCUGUGGAUGUUGUCAUGUUGAUAUUUGUGCUCUCUACGGUUCACCCUGAUAAAAUGCACCUUGUCUUACAAAACAUUUACAAGGUAUUAAAACCAGGCAAAAGUGUCUUGUUUCGCGACUAUGGGCUGUAUGAUCAUGCCAUGCUUAGGUUUAAAGCCGGCAGCAAACUUGCAGAAAACUUUUAUGUUAGACAAGAUGGAACCAGAUCGUAUUUUUUCACUGACGGUAAGAUUGCUGGAAUCUGUCUUGACUGCUGUUUCCUUGAUUGCAUUGUCACUAUGGUACCAGUUGGAGUGGGGGUGACUGUACCCCCCUUACAAGCACAAGGUCCCAGAACAAGCCCGCUCACAUGCACCACUUACCAGCCCUGGCUGUGAGCUCACCGGCCGCCUCUGGUGACCGUGUCCAGUUAGUGAGCCGGAUCAGUGGACAGGCUCUGAUGCGCCGCCAUGUGGAUGACGCCAGGAGCUGCGCUGGAAAGAGGGGAGAGCAAACCAGAAUCUUCACUUCGUUCACUCAGGCAUAAAGCAAAUAGGACAGGGUAGUGCCUUGAGAUUACUUGAGUCUCACAAAGAGCACAGGCUUCGGAUGCGCAGACUCAGCGACCAUGGCUCAUGGGCCCAGCCGCUCCGCGGCAUGUGGGAUCUUCCCGGACCAGGGCACGA